rnacentral:rRNA from 1 species
CUCCUUCGGGGGCAUCGUUAGUGGCGAACGGGUGAGUAACGCAUGGAUAACGUACCCGGGACUCGGGGAUAGCGGCGGAGCUUCGGCUCCUUUGCGAAAGCGCCGGUAAUACCCGAUGAUCCCGCCGAGUCGCAUGGCUCGGCGGGCAAAGUUCCGGCGGUCCCGGAGCGGUCCAUGUCCUAUCAGCUUGUUGGUGGGGUAACGGCCUACCAAGGCUUCGACGGGUACCGGGUGUGAGAGCAUGACCCGGCACAUCGGAACUGAGACACUGUCCGGACACCUACGGGUGGCUGCAGCAACGAAUAUUCCGCAAUGGGCGAAAGCCUGACGGAGCGACGCCGCGUGCAGGAUGAAGUCUCUCGGGAUGUAAACUGCUGUCAGGGGUCAGAAAGAUCUGAUCAGCCCCAAAGGAAGCCUCGGCUAACUCCGUGCCAGCAGCCGCGGUAAUACGGAGGAGGCAAGCGUUGUUCGGAAUCACUGGGCUUAAAGCGCGUGUAGGCGGAGUGGCAGGUGUCUCGUGAAAGCCCUCGGCUCAACCGAGGAAUUGCUGGGCAAACCGCCAUUCUUGAGGCAGGUAGAGGCAAGUGGAACUAUGGGUGGAGCGGUGAAAUGCGUAGAUAUCCAUGGGAACGCCGGUGGCGAAAGCGACUUGCUGGGCCUGUCCUGACGCUGAGACGCGAAAGCGUGGGUAGCAAACAGGAUUAGAUACCCUGGUAGUCCACGCCGUAAACGAUGCGCACUAGGUACGAGGGUUCUGACUAUUCUCGUGCCGAAGCAAAAGUGUUAAGUGCGCCGCCUGGGGAGUACGGCCGCA